rnacentral:tRNA from 1 species
GUUUUUGUAGUUGAAUACAACGGUGGUUUUUCGUAUCACAGGUCUCAGUUAAAGUCCGAGUAAAAAUG